UACGUAGGGUGCAAGCGUUGUCCGGAAUUAUUGGGCGUAAAGAGCUUGUAGGCGGUUUGUCGCGUCUGCUGUGAAAUUUCGGGGCUCAACCCCGAACUUGCAGUGGGUACGGGCAGACUAGAGUGUGGUAGGGGAGACUGGAAUUCCUGGUGUAGCGGUGAAAUGCGCAGAUAUCGGGAAGAACACCCGUGGCGAAGGCGGCUCUCUGGGACGGUACUGGACGCUGAGACGCGAAAGCGUGGGGAGCGAACAGG
rnacentral:rRNA from 1 species